UGCUGUUAAUGAUGUUUUUAAAUAAUGGGAAUCUCUCAGAAAGAGGAUGAAGACUAUAAUUUUUUAAAGCUGAAACAGUA
rnacentral:snoRNA from 1 species